rnacentral:tRNA from 1 species
CUCUGUGGCUCAGUUGGUGGAUCAUGGCGCUUGCAACGCCAGGGUCGUGGGUUCGAUUCCCACUGGGG